AUGACGUUUGAUUGUACAAGCGUUGUAGGGAAAACACCUCUAGGAACUAUCAAGUGGGAAGGUGUAAGAGGAUCUAUUACACAAGAUUUAUCUGCUGAUUCUGAGGUUUUCAAUUAAUUCGUCACUCCUGGUUCCUGUACUAGAACUUUUACUUCCAGACUCAGCCGGAAUGUCACGAGAAGAGAUAAUGGGCUUGUUAUUCGGUGUCGAACAACUCACACUAUAUAUGAAGACCCUGAAGAUUAUCUAGAUUUAGCACCUUUAGUUAUUAACUAUCCUGUAGAAGUUGACAGUUUAUCGGUACAUCAAGUACCAGAUUAUCCUGUACAUGACGUUGGUGACUCGUUUCUUCUUUUGUGUCAAAUAUCCGUAGUUCCUGCUGCUACUUAUAAAUGGCAACAUCUUAGAUCUAACCAAGUAUAUAACCCAGGAAAUUGGGGUGUUAUGUAUUUGCAGAAUGUCCAAGAGGACCACUGCAGAGUGGUACCUAUGAGUGUGAGGCUACCAAUUCUUAUCGUAAUGUAACAUUCACAGCUAAAAAGACUAUCAUAGUUAAUAUCCAAAACCACAAACAACCUUAAUUGUAAAGCCUGUAACAAGCACUUCGUCAGAGAGAGGAGGGAGAAAAAAUAUACGACCCGUUCAACAAACGAACAAGUUUACAAUAAAAUUAAUUUAAAUAGUUCGACUGAGACUUCAAGUCAUAGAGAUGUUAAAGGGGCUAAAUCGCUAAUAUUUGGGACCUAGAAAUUGACACAAAUGUGUCGUAACGCAUAUAAUAAUGUAAUGUGAAUGUAUAUAAACUGAUUUACAUUCAACCGUUUCUGUUUUUACUGUAAUUUC